ACGAGUGUAGUUGUAGUGGUUAUCACACGAUAUUGCGGUCAGUGACCAAACCCUAUCGUAACCUGGGUUCGACCCCCAGCGCUCGUA